UACGAAGGGGGCAAACGUUGUUCGGAAUUACUGGGCGUAAAGGGCGCGUAGGCGGCUUACCAAGUCAGGCGUGAAAUUCCCGGGCUCAACCUGGGGGCUGCGCUUGAUACUGGUGAGCUUGAAUGCGGGAGAGGAUAGUGGAAUUCCCAGUGUAGAGGUGAAAUUCGUAGAUAUUGGGAAGAACACCGGUGGCGAAGGCGGCUAUCUGGCCCGUAAUUGACGCUGAGGCGCGAAAGCGUGGGGAGCAAACAGG
rnacentral:rRNA from 1 species